rnacentral:rRNA from 1 species
GCUUACGGCCACAACUCUGGUUCACGCCCGAUCUUGUUUGAUCUCGGAAGCUAAGAUAGGUUGGGCCUGGUUAGUACUUGGAUGGGAGACCGCCUAGGAAUACCAGGCACUGUAAGCC